CCGACCUUAGCUCAGUUGGUAGAGCGGAGGACUGUAGUCAAUCGCUGAAAUCCUUAGGUCGCUGGUUCGAAUCCGGCAGGUCGGA